rfam:Tursiops truncatus cont1.427348, whole genome shotgun sequence.
UUUCCACUACGUAAACGGUAGCCAGGAGUUCUCGCUGCGGACCAGAAGCGUGUGCCAGCUCAAGACCUACACGCUAAGUGCAUUUCCCUCCUCUUGGGGUCGCUUGUCUUGGAGGCGCAGGAAACCGUGAGG